UAGAUUGAAGUCCGUUGGUUUGGAUGGCUAGUUGUUAACUAGUGUUUUGUGGGAUCGAGGCCCGCCAGUCUAG
rnacentral:tRNA from 1 species